rnacentral:rRNA from 1 species
AACAGCCGCGGUAAUUCCAGCUCCAAUAGCGUAUAUUAAAGUUGCUGCAGUUAAAAAGCUCGUAGUUGAAUUUCGGGAUCAAUAUGUUGGUCGUGCCUCGGUACGUACUGGCUUAUUGGUUUCUCCCUUCUGACGAACCAUGAUGUCAUUUAUUUGGUGUUAUGAGGAAUCAGGACUGUUACUUUGAAAAAAUUGAGUGUUUAAAGCAAGGCUCACGCUUGAAUACAUUAGCAUGGAAUAAUGAAAUAGGACGUUUGAUUCUAUUUUGUUGGUUUCUAGGAUCGACGUAAUGAUUAAUAGGGAUGGUUGGGGGCAUUAGUAUUCAAUUGUCAGAGGUGAAAUUCUUGGAUUUAUUGAAGACUAACUACUGCGAAAGCAUUUGCCAAGGAUGUUUUCAUUAAUCAAGAACGAAAGUUAGGGGAUCGAAGACGAUCAGAUACCGUCGUAGUCUUAACCAUAAACUAUGCCGACUAGGGAUCGGAUGAUGUUAAUUUUUAAUGACUCAUUCGGC